rnacentral:rRNA from 1 species
UAGGGAAUCUUCCACAAUGGGCGAAAGCCUGAUGGAGCAACGCCGCGUGUGUGAUGAAGGGUUUCGGCUCGUAAAACACUGUUGUAAGAGAAGAAUGACAUUGAGAGUAACUGUUCAAUGUGUGACGGUNUUCUUACCAGAAAGGAACGGCUAAAUACGUGCCAC